rnacentral:rRNA from 1 species
GGGUGCGAUAAUACCAGCACUAAUGCAUCGGAUCCCAUCAGAACUUCACAGUUAAGGGUGCUUGGGCGAGAGUAGUACUGGGGUGGGUGACCUCCUCGGAAGUCCUCGUGUUGCACCCA